rnacentral:rRNA from 1 species
UACUGAGGUCUCGAGCGUUGUUCGGAUUCAUUGGGCGUAAAGGGCGCGUAGGCGGCGGGGUAAGUCUGGUGUGAAAUCUCGGAGCUCAACUCCGAAAUUGCACUGGAUACUGCUCUGCUAGAGGGCUGGAGAGGAGAUCGGAAUUCACGGUGUAGCAGUGAAAUGCGUAGAUAUCGUGAGGAAGACCAGUGGCGAAGGCGGAUCUCUGGACAGCUCCUGACGCUGAGGCGCGAAAGCGUGGGGAGCAAACGGG